rnacentral:rRNA from 1 species
CGGGCAUAGCAAUAUGUCAGCGGCAGACGGGUGAGUAACGCGUGGGAACGUACCUUUUGGUUCGGAACAACUGAGGGAAACUUCAGCUAAUACCGGAUAAGCCCUUACGGGGAAAGAUUUAUCGCCGAAAGAUCGGCCCGCGUCUGAUUAGCUAGUUGGUGAGGUAAUGGCUCACCAAGGCGACGAUCAGUAGCUGGUCUGAGAGGAUGAUCAGCCACAUUGGGACUGAGACACGGCCCAAACUCCUACGGGAGGCAGCAGUGGGGAAUAUUGGACAAUGGGCGCAAGCCUGAUCCAGCCAUGCCGCGUGAGUGAUGAAGGCCCUAGGGUUGUAAAGCUCUUUUGUGCGGGAAGAUAAUGACGGUACCGCAAGAAUAAGCCCCGGCUAACUUCGUGCCAGCAGCCGCGGUAAUACGAAGGGGGCUAGCGUUGCUCGGAAUCACUGGGCGUAAAGGGUGCGUAGGCGGGUCUUUAAGUCAGGGGUGAAAUCCUGGAGCUCAACUCCAGAACUGCCUUUGAUACUGAAGAUCUUGAGUUCGGGAGAGGUGAGUGGAACUGCGAGUGUAGAGGUGAAAUUCGUAGAUAUUCGCAAGAACACCAGUGGCGAAGGCGGCUCACUGGCCCGAUACUGACGCUGAGGCACGAAAGCGUGGGGAGCAAACAGGAUUAGAUACCCUGGUAGUCCACGCUGUAAACGAUGAAUGCCAGCCGUUAGUGGGUUUACUCACUAGUGGCGCAGCUAACGCUUUAAGCAUUCCGCCUGGGGAGUACGGUCGCAAGAUUAAAACUCAAGGAAUUGACGGGGGCCCGCACAAGCGGUGGAGCAUGGGGUUUAAUUCGACGCAACGCGCAGACCUUACCAGCCCUUGACAUCCCGGUCGCGGACUCCAGAGACGGAGUUCUUCAGUUCGGCUGGACCGGAGACAGGUGCUGCAU